GCGGCAAAAACGACACGACCACAACCAUAAGGAUGAGUGCAUCUUUGAAAGCAGCAUUGAAGAGGACUUGCGUAGACAGCGACAACGACAAAAGGAGCGUGAAAAGGAUAGAGAGAUGUUAAAGGAGCCAGAGGAGGAAGAUAGAAUGGAUGAAACGGACACACCCUUUGUUGAAAAA
rnacentral:ribozyme from 1 species